rnacentral:rRNA from 1 species
AUUGAACGCUGGCGGCAGGCCUAACACAUGCAAGUCGAACGAGUGGCGGACGGGUGAGUAAUGUCUGGGAAACUGCAUGAUGGAGGGGGAUAACUACUGGAAACGGUAGCUAAUACCGCAUACCAUCGGAGGGGCCCAGAUGGGAUUAGCUAGUAGGUGGGGUAAAGGCUCACCUAGGCGACGAUCCCUAGCUGGUCUGUGAGGAUGACCAGCCAAACUGGAACUGAGACACGGUCCAGAGUCCUACGCGAGGCAGCAGUAGGGAAUAUUGCGAAAGGUGCGCGAGCCUGAUGCAGCAAUGGCGCGUGUAUGAGGAAGGCUGUCGGGUUGUAAAGGACUUUCAGCGGGGAGGCGUUGCCAGCAGAGGAAGCAACGGCUAACUCCGUUCCAGCAGCCGCGGUAAUAC